rnacentral:snRNA from 1 species
GUGCUCGCUUCGACAGCACAUAUACUAAAGUUGGAACGAUACAGAGAAGAUUAGCGUGGCCCCUGUGCAAGGAUGACACGCAAAUUCGCGAAGUGUUCCAUAUUUUU